AAGCAAAAUGCACAUGGCCAUAUAAACAAACGCUGGUGCUGAGAGCUGCAGUGCACCCCAAGAAGUACAGAGCGCACUGAGAAGGGGAAUACAUGACAUGUGCUUUCUAUGGAAAUUAGAUGCCGUAUAUUUUAUUUAGCAGAUCAUUCUAAACAGAUACAGGAGCAAGACUGGAGGUGUGCAUUGGGACAAGGAUCAAGGGAGGUUUUUACUACUAUGCAUCACAUGCCAGUGAAGGACAUAGCGAUUCGGCUAGGGACAGAGCAGCACGAUGUAUAGGUCAGUGCCUUUUAUGUGGAACAAUGAACUGGCACCACUUGUCCCUCCCAAAGUCAUCACUCCCAAAGCCUCCACUCCAAGAGCCAUCUCCGAGCCCAUGGAGCUUUGAAGAACAAAAGUCCAGGCCCUAUGAUGGAAUGGAAUGUCCACAUCUGUUGAACCCCAAGCCAGACAAAAGAGAGAGGGUUCAUGCUUUAAAGGAAAAGCAUGGAAAUGGGCCACAAAUAUUGAUGCCCAAAGAUACCCAAGCCUGGAUAACACAGAGGAAAAUUCCAUCCUUAUGAAAAGAGUGGUGCCAUUGUCUACAGAAAAGCUUCCUACUUGCAUCCUGCUUCACUCACCCAAACAAUAUAGUGGCAUUGCCUUCCACGCCUAGUCCAGACUUGCAUUCCUUGCUCUUGCUACAAUGCUAGUGCUCAUAGUAGUUACUUAAUAAAAUGCUUUAAUAUGAAUAACAACACAACUUUACAGUAAGCUAUGUUUGUUUUAAAUAUACAUAACAUACCAAACAAUAUAAUAUAAGUAAUGUAGCCUAAGCAACUUGGAAUCAGUGAGGGAUGGUUUAAUGUGAAAGAAACUUUCCAGAUCCAGUGAUAAAGCAAGUCCUACCUUAUGUAUAAGAUAUUCAUAAAAUAUAUUUUAAUAUAG